GAUGAACGCUGGCGGCGUGCUUAACACAUGCAAGUCGAAUGAAGCAUUUGCGACAGAUUUUUUCGGAAUGAAGUUGCUUAUGACUGAGUGGCGGACGGGUGAGUAACGCGUGGGUAACCUGCCUUGUACUGGGGGAUAGCAGCUGGAAACGGCUGGUAAUACCGCAUAAGCGCACAAUGUUGCAUGACAUGGUGUGAAAAACUCCGGUGGUAUAAGAUGGACCCGCGUCUGAUUAGCUAGUUGGUGAGAUAACAGCCCACCAAGGCGACGAUCAGUAGCCGACCUGAGAGGGUGACCGGCCACAUUGGGACUGAGACACGGCCCAGACUCCUACGGGAGGCAGCAGUGGGGAAUAUUGCACAAUGGAGGAAACUCUGAUGCAGCGACGCCGCGUGAGUGAAGAAGUAAUUCGUUAUGUAAAGCUCUAUCAGCAGGGAAGAUAGUGACGGUACCUGACUAAGAAGCUCCGGCUAAAUACGUG
rnacentral:rRNA from 1 species